GUACUACUCCCUCCGUCCCAAAAUUCUUGUCUUACAUUUGUCUAGAUACGGAUGUACCUAAUACUAAAACGUGACUUGAUACAUCCGUAUUUAGACAAAUCUAAGACAAGAAUUUUGGGACGGAGGGAGUAUAUU
rnacentral:pre_miRNA from 1 species